rnacentral:misc_RNA from 1 species
GAUGAAGAACGUAGCGAAAUGCGAUAAGUAAUGUGAAUUGCAGAAUUCCGUGAAUCAUCGAAUCUUUGAACGCACAUUGCGCCCCCUGGCAUUCCGGGGGGCAUGCCUGUCCGAGCGUCAUUUCUGCCCUCCAGCCCGGCUGGGUGUUGGGCGCUGUCCCCCCGGGGACACGCCCCAAAGGCAGUGGCGGCGCCGCGUCGGGUCCUCGAGCGUAUGGGGCUUUGUCACCCGCUCGGGACGGACUCGUCGGCGCUGGUCUUCCUCCAGGCGACCCUUCGGGGCUCGUCUUCCUUCGGUUGACCUCGGAUCAGGUAGGGUUACCCGCUGAACUUAAGCAGAUCAAUAAGCGGAGGA